rfam:Strongyloides papillosus strain LIN genome assembly, scaffold: SPAL_scaffold0000097
CCAACGGCCCUCUUUAGGGUCACCAAUUUUUAAUAAUAAAUUAUUU